rnacentral:rRNA from 1 species
AUUGAACGCUGGCGGCAGGCCUAACACAUGCAAGUCGAACGGUAACAGGAAACAGCUUGCUGUUUCGCUGACGAGUGGCGGUCGGGUGAGUAAUGUCUGGGAAACUGCCUGAUGGAGGGGGAUAACUACUGGAAACGGUAGCUAAUACCGCAUAACGUCGCAAGACCAAAGAGGGGGACCUUCGGGCCUCUUGCCAUCGGAUGUGCCCAGAUGGGAUUAGCUUGUUGGUGGGGUAACGGCUCACCAAGGCGACGAUCCCUAGCUGGUCUGAGAGGAGGACCAGCCAGACUGGAACUGAGACACGGUCCAGACUCCUACGGGAGGCAGCAGUGGGGAAUAUUGCACAAUGGGCGCAAGCCUGAUGCAGCCAUGCCGCGUGUAUGAAGAAGGCCUUCGGGUUGUAAAGUACUUUCAGCGGGGAGGAAGGGAGUAAAGUUAAUACCUUUACUCAUUGACGUUACCCGCAGAAGAAGCACCGGCUAACUCCGUGCCAGCAGCCGCAGUAA